GACGUAGGUCCCGAGCGUUGUUCGGAUUCAUUGGGCGUAAAGGGUGCGUAGGCGGCGCGGUAAGUCGGGUGUGAAAUCUCGGAGCUUAACUCCGAAACUGCAUUCGAUACUGCCGUGCUUGAGGACUGGAGAGGAGACUGGAAUUUACGGUGUAGCGGUGAAAUGCGUAGAUAUCAGGAAGAACACCCGUGGCUAAGGCGGUUCUCUAGUACGGUACUGACGCUGAGACGCGAAAGCGUGGGGAGCGAACAGG
rnacentral:rRNA from 1 species